rnacentral:rRNA from 1 species
GACGAACGCUGGCGGCGUGCUUAACACAUGCAAGUCGAACGGAAAGGCCCUGCUUUUGUGGGGUGCUCGAGUGGCGAACGGGUGAGUAACACGUGAGUAACCUGCCCUUGACUUUGGGAUAACUUCAGGAAACUGGGGCGAAUACCGGAUAGGAGCUCCUGCUGCAUGGUGGGGGUUGGAAAGUUUCGGCGGUUGGGGAUGGACUCGCGGCUUAUCCGCUUGUUGGUGGGGUAGUGGCUUACCAAGGCUUUGACGGGUAGCCGGCCUGGGAGGGUGAACGGCCACAAUGGGACUGCGAUACGGCCCAGACUCCUACGGGAGGCAGCAGUGGGGAAUAUUGCACAAUGGGCGGAAGCCUGAUGCAGCAACGCCGCGUGCGGGAUGACGGGCUUCGGGUUGUAAACCGCUUUCUCCGUUGACGAAGCGUGCGUGACGGUAAUUGGUAAAGAAGCAACGGCUAACUACGUG